AACAAGCUAUACUAGAGCAAGAAUAUCUCAUAUCAUCAGGGUUAAAAGCAAGAGUAUCCCAUAUCAUGCUUUUUCCCUGUCUUUUCCUUUGGCCUUGUUCUUACCUGCAAGACAAGGAGAAAGAGAGCAAUCAGUCAGCACUUGGAAUUAAGCUUCCAGCCAGGAACUGACUGCCUGGAACCCCUUACCUGAUUACUUAC
rnacentral:lncRNA from 1 species